UGGGGAAUUUUGGACAAUGGGCGAAAGCCUGAUCCAGCAAUGCCGCGUGUGUGAAGAAGGCCUUCGGGUUGUAAAGCACUUUUGUCCGGAAAGAAAAUCCUUGGCUCUAAUACAGUCGGGGGAUGACGGUACCGGAAGAAUAAGCACCGGCUAACUACGUGCCAGCAGCCGCGGUAAUACGUAGGGUGCAAGCGUUAAUCGGAAUUACUGGGCGUAAAGCGUGCGCAGGCGGUUUGCUAAGACCGAUGUGAAAUCCCCGGGCUCAACCUGGGAACUGCAUUGGUGACUGGCAGGCUAGAGUAUGGCAGAGGGGGGUAGAAUUCCACGUGUAGCAGUGAAAUGCGUAGAGAUGUGGAGGAAUACCGAUGGCGAAGGCAGCCCCCUGGGCCAAUACUGACGCUCAUGCACGAAAGCGUGGGGAGCAAACAGGAUUAGAUACCCUGGUAGUCCACGCCCUAAACGAUGUCAACUAGUUGUUGGGGAUUCAUUUCCUUAGUAACGUAGCUAACGCGUGAAGUUGACCGCCUGGGGGAGUACGGUCGCAAGAUUAAAACUCAAAUGAAUUGAC
rnacentral:rRNA from 1 species